CCUGAUGACCAUAGCGAGUCGGUCCCACCCCUUCCCAUCCCGAACAGGACCGUGAAACGACUCUACGAGCGAAGCAAUUGGAAGUGGUUCCAAGAAAAGCCUCUAAGCUUCAGUC
rnacentral:rRNA from 1 species